rnacentral:rRNA from 1 species
UACGGGGGGGCGCGAGCGUUGUCCGGAAUCACUGGGCGUAAAGGGCGCGUAGGUGGUUUGAUAAGGGUGUGGUGAAAGUCCGGGGCUCAACCCCGGAUCUGCCGUGCCGACUGUCAAACUCGAGGACUGUAGAGGCAGACGGAAUUCCGGGUGUAGCGGUGGAAUGCGUAGAGAUCCGGAGGAAGACCGGUGGCGAAGGCGGUCUGCUGGGCAGUGACUGACGCUGAGGCGCGACAGCGUGGGGGAGCAAACAGG